rnacentral:rRNA from 1 species
AUGCAAACUUGGAGGCUUACUUUUCAAGGAAAACGAGUCUGUCUAGUAUACGAAGAGUUUAAUUCCCUGGUUAUAACUUCCUUACCCGGUAUAAGCAGCGAUGUAUGCUCGGGUCGAGUUGUAUUGUGCUUUUUACGUGUUGCCUUGACCAUCUGCACCGGGUGUUUGCGCGAACCGUCUACAACGGAUCUAGUCGGUAACUUUGUAAGGAGGAAUUCGAUCCAAAAGAGAUGGACGUCGUGGCAGAACCUUCGAAGAUCUACUUACCUGCUAGACCUCGUGAGUUUUGGAUAUGAAAGCGACGGGGUUAGCAGCCGCGGCCUGGUAGUACCGGACACCUGGGUGCACAACGACUCGCUCCCUGUCGGGACCGUCGCGAUUCUCUGCGUCGACGGCUCUGUGGUGACCAGGAAAGCCUGCGACGUCAACGUCGUCGACAGAAGCUACUUCUACCCCGGCGAGGUCGUCGGAUCCGCGUCGGACCUCGGCGGUCAAAUCGGCGUCGUCACCAACGUCACCGUAGCGGUCGACCUGAUCGAGCGCACCGUCCGCGGCGGCGAGCCGGCGAAGAUCGUCAAGGGUGUGCCACCAUCUCGUCUGCGGCGCGUUAAAGGACUCAGCCUGGGCGACUAUGUCGUAUCCGGGCCGUGGCUUGGCCGGGUCGUCGAGGUGUCCACUGAUGUCUACGUGUUGUUCGACGAUGGCGCCAUGUGUAAGGUCCCCGACGCAGAGUCCAAGAUGCUACGAUCAGUGGCCAAGGCCGACGCCCUUUACCGCCCUGAGAUGAAUAGCCCUUUUUACCCGGGGCAGCGGGUGACCGGCGACCCAUGUGCCGUCUUCAAGCCCUCCCGGUGGCUCAACGGCCAUUGGAGGCCGGAGCGUAGAGCAGGCACCGUCACCAAGCUCGAGAUGUCCGGCGCCCUCGUCCACUGGAUCGCGUCGGCGCACGGCGGCACCGACCAACAGCUUGUUCAAGAGUCUGCUCCCCCGGCCUAUCAGAACCCUGGCAAUCUGACCUUCUUUGGCUCCGCGUCUGCCUGCACCUGGGGCGUAGCCGACACGUGCUUCCUUCGAAAAACCAGUGACGACUCACUUCCCGCCGCCGGCGAAACCAACAAGGGUGCUGGCGAUGAUUACUUCGAUGGGCACAGGAGGACGCGAUGCCGGGACGUCGGGAGGUACGUGGAGUUGGACCAGCUGCCCAUGAGCGUUGCUAGCACCCGCAGCACCGUCGACGUGUUGUGGCAGGACGGCACACGGCAGCUCGGUGCACCGUCGACAUCCCUCGUCCCCUUCAACAUCUUGAACGAGCAAGAGUUCCUCCCAGGCCAGUUUGUUGUCGACAACGCCUUUCCCGCGGCAAAUGCCCCUGCUGAUGCUGCCAUCGGUGUUACCGGCGACGAUGACGGCGCAGGUGCUUCUGCGACGAGGCGUGUGGGCUUCGUGACAAGCCUGGAUUGCAAGGACCAGAUGGUGCACGUCUCGUGGUUCAAAGCGGCGUCGCGCCCCGGCCAAGCAAGAGAGAUCGAUUGCGAUGAUACCGUCAGCGCGUACAGCCUAGAAAGGGAGCCUGAACACUAUGCUUACUAUGGAGAUGUCGUUGUUCGCCUGCUACCAUCAGGAUCAACUGACGGCCCAAGUGCACCGCCGUCACAGGGCAACCAUGAGAAGAAAGCCGAUCUUUCAUGGGUCGGGCGUGUGGUAGACCUGCCUGAUGGCUUUGUCCAAGUCAAGUGGGGUGAUGGUAGCACGUCAACGGAAAAUGUUCCACAAAACCCAAUCGGCGUCGACGGCGACCAGGAUCCUGCGGGUAGAGAUGGCCCUGCCGCGAUAACAACAGGCCACCUGGGUUCUGCCGUCUCGUUUGUGAUCGGAUGGGCAAGCAAUGUGUUAGCUCGAGGUAAAAGGUGUCUAGCGGAUUGGUCUUCCCCGUCAUCAUCAGGCUCCGAGUUAUCUGCAGCCGCAGAGAAUGUGGGAGCUCCCGAGACGGUACCUGGUGGUGGUGACCAUCCUAGGGAUGGCGCCGCAAGGGAGGUCGUCGACGGAGACGAUUCUGCCAGUGAGGGGAAGGAGGCUGCAGAUGCUAACGGCAAUGAGGAGUCAUUCCAUUUUCUGCAUUUUGACGUAGGAGAUAGCCCUCCGGAUCAUCAUUACCUUGACACCGCGGACCAGGGCGACUGCCGUGGAAAGUGGGUCAAGAUAGUGCAGAGAGAGUGGAAAAUACUAGAGAACAACUUACCAGAUACCAUCUACGUGCGGGCAUUCGAGAACCGCAUAGAUCUGCUCCGGGCUGUCAUGGUGGGCGCUAGCGGAACACCGUAUCACGACGGGCUCUUCUUCUUCGACUUGCUGCUGCCACCGUCCUACCUAGACGCACCGCCGCAGGUGUACUAUCACUCGUUCGGGCUCUGUCUCAAUCCUAAUCUAUAUGCCUCUAGAACAGUGUGCCUCAGCCUUCUCAACACCUUUGGCGGAGAGGGCACGGAGAUCUGGUCACCAGCGACGUCGAGCCUGCUCCAGGUUCUAGUCUCCAUCCAGGGCCUCGUUCUCAACAACCAGCCCUACUACAAUGAGGCUGGGUACGAAGCUCUGGUCGGCACACCAAAGGGUUGCCGCAACGCUUUGCCGUACAACGAGAAUGCCUACCUACUCACCCUGCGAACUAUGCUCCAUCUACUGCGCCGACCACCUUUGGGGUUCGAGGAGUUUGUCAGGGACCACUUCCGCCGCCGGGGGAGGUUCAUACUUAGGGCAUGCGAGGCAUAUCUUCAAGGAUGCGACGUUGGAACGCUUUGUAGCGAGGCAUGUGCCACCAAGAGGAGUAGCGAGCGGCAGUGCUCACCUGGGUUAAGGUUCACGCUCGCCAAUCUGGUGCCAAGGCUCGUUGCGGCAUUCGUGGAGAUCGGUGCCGAGGGAUGUGUGUAA